CAUGAACCACUGGCUGAGAAACAUCCUGAUUCUGACUCUCUGGCUAGAGUGUAAAGGAGAAGACAGAGUGACCCAGCCAGCAGGAGAUGUCAUUGCUGCUGAAGGAGACACAGUUACACUUGACUGUACUUUUGAGACAACAACUACAUAUUCCUAUUUGUUCUGGUACAAACAAGAAGAAAAUGAUUACCCAAAGUUUAUGCUGCAACGGUACUCUGGAACACAGGAUACCCCUUUAGAGAAAGAGAGAGUUGAUGCCACUAUCAACAAGACAUCAGUUCCUCUGAAGAUCCAGAAGCUUCAGCUGUCUGACUCUGCUGUGUACUACUGUGCUCUGCGGCCCACAGUGACAGGAAAC